AACCUUGUUAGCCGAUCCUUUUCAUGCCCAUCACUUCUUCCAAAUAAGACAAUAUGCCAAAGAAAAAAUUGGGGCAGCUUUGUGGAUUUCACCACGCGUCUUCGCCCUGAAAUUCAUCAACCCAUAAUCUCGAGACUGGGACAGCCUUACGGAUCUCCUUUGAAUUUUCACCCUAAUUUUCAUGGAUCCAAACCCUAGCUCAUUUUCCCAAACAGCAAACCGGGGCAACUUUUGGUAUCUCAUGUUUUGUCUUGACACUCACAUAUUACAUCUCCUUUGGGGUUUGUAGUGCCCAUACGACUAUCCAAACCCUCAUAAACCUAUUUUGUUUUUCCCUUGCCAAUGAAUUCAAGCACGUGUACAUUAAUGUCUAGAAAGAAAAAGUCAAACAUAUAAUCAUAUCUGACAUUAGACC
rnacentral:lncRNA from 1 species